GAAAAAUUAUAAUCCAAACAAGGUGUUAGUGCUUUUUGAGUCUAUCCAAUGAUGUCUCCUCCAUCACAAUCGGAAGGUCUUACUUGGCGCAAAGAGAUGAGAGGCGGCACUAUUUUGGAUGGGUGGCAAGCUCUUUUCUUUCAUGCCAGCGGCGUUAUAUUGAAUGGUUGGCUAGGUCUUCUCUUGCCCGCCUAGGGUUUCAGGAUAGGGUCUAGGCCGAGUGGCCUCAGUACUCAGGCUGUGAAUUUGUGCUAAGCUUGACUUGGGCUCACAUUUUUUAUUUGUUUCUGUUUCUAGUUCCAUUCUAUGUAAGUUUGCCCUCUAGGCUUGUUAAUGCAAAUGCAAUUGCAGGUAAAAAAAACGUAACACCAGAAAUAUUUUUACAAAAAUCUAAGGACAUCCUGCUGGACUGCUAACGGAUUCUACCAGGCUGGCUGGCUGCACUUAGUUAUCAAAUUGACCUUUUGAGCAUGUGUAUGGAAACAUAGGCCCACAGCUUGCAAAUCAAAUUUUCCAACACGGUACUAACCAAAAAGAAUGG
rnacentral:misc_RNA from 1 species